rnacentral:rRNA from 1 species
AGCGAACGCUGGCGGCAGGCCUAACACAUGCAAGUCGAACGAACCUUUCGGGGUUAGUGGCGGACGGGUGAGUAACACGUGGGAACGUGCCUUUAGGUUCGGAAUAACUCAGGGAAACUUGUGCUAAUACCGAAUGUGCCCUUCGGGGGAAAGAUUUAUCGCCUUUAGAGCGGCCCGCGUCUGAUUAGCUAGUUGGUUGAGGUAAUGGCUCACCAAGGCGACGAUCAGUAGCUGGUCUGAGAGGAUGAUCAGCCACAUGGGGACUGAGACACGGCCCAAACUCCUACGGGAGGCAGCAGUGGGGAAUCUUGCGCAAUGGGCGAAAGCCUGACGCAGCCAUGCCGCGUGAAUGAUGAAGGUCUUAGGAUUGUAAAAUUCUUUCACCGGGGACGAUAAUGACGUUACCCGGAGAAGAAGCCCCGGCUAACUUCGUG